AUUGAACGCUGGCGGCAGGCCUAACACAUGCAAGUCGAACGAGUGGCGGACGGGUGAGUAAUGUCUGGGAAACUGCCUGAUGGAGGGGGAUAACUACUGGAAACGGUAGCUAAUACCGCAUACCAUCGGAUGUGCCCAGAUGGGAUUAGCUAGUUGGUGGGGUAAAGGCUCACCUAGGCGACGAUCCCUAGCUGGUCUGAGAGGAUGACCAGCCACACUGGGACUGAGACACGGUCCAGACUCCUACGGGAGGCAGCAGUGGGGAAUAUUGGACAAUGGGCGAAAGCCUGAUGCAGCCAUGCCGCGUGUAUGAUGAAGGCCUUCGGGUUGUAAAGUACUUUCAGCAGGGAAGCGGUACCCGCAGAAGAAGCACCGGCUAACUCCGUGCCAGCAGCCGCGGUAAUUC
rnacentral:rRNA from 1 species